CUGAGCUUUCGCACGCCCUCUGGUGGAUGCAAUUCACCACAGUGGGCAGCAAAUAUUUUUAUCGAAUUUCGGUCUGACUGACAGUCCCAAUUGCUGUUUGUUUCCCACUGUCAUUCUGAAAAACAGAAGGGGCACCGAAAAUUAGGCUGGGAGGAGCUGAUUUCCGAAAAAAAUAGAGCGAGCCUUCUCCUCGUGGUAUUCAAAGAGUACAGACGUACAUAUACGUCGCGACCACGGCCAUAUGGAGCGAACAUAAAAAGAAGACAGAAGAGGUUGCUGCCAGUUACCGGAUGAGUUCCGAAUAAAUUACCCAUGGAACACCGGAGAAAUAUCUACGGCGUCCACUGGGCCCAUGGAGGGGCAUAUUUUUGGAAGACCACUCUGGCCCCCACCAGCAGCUUUAGCGCAGGCGCAACCCAGUGCCCGAUUUCCGUUCGAGAGCGGCCCCAACAGCACCAAGGCAGAACAGCUGCGAUCGAGCACCUCGACCAUCAUCCCCCGCCUACAGCGGCUUGAGAGCCGAAAUUAGCGAGUUGUGUUAAGUGAUGUGACCACCUGACGAUCUCUGACCCAGGCCUUGACGGAAUAUAUCUAUGUGCGGUUCAACAUAACCUGCCUAUGGAUCGGUGCCACCACAUGCUGGCUUAACAUUUUUUCGUUGCCCCCCUAAACCAACUAAAAUCAACGGCAUAGUGACAGUGAAGAAUAAAAUACGAAACUCUAUAUGAAACACUGUGCAUUUAAAACGUAUGUGCACUUGCGAGGUCAUUGACCCGUAAAGGCUACAGGCCGUGCUUUUCAAAUUUAUACUUGUGUCCCCAUGCCAUCGCUGCCAUGUCUGGAUUCAGACCUCGUUUUGAAUUUGAUUAAUACAAAUGUAAAGAAAAGUAGUGAUAUUUAGCGCAAGUGACAAAAACAUUAAGAAACUAACGUAAAAUUUACUUAUUCCAUUUUUGUUUAAUUUAUAUUUGUUUAAAUCCAACCCCAAAAAGAAAGAAUCAAAACAAACGGAGAGAAAUCAUUUGUUUAUGUGUGUUUUUUUUUGUAUUCAUUCGUUUAUUCCUUCUAUUAUCAUGCUUUAAUAAUACUACGUUCUUACACUAGUGGGUAUAAUUAUAAUGAGGGUCGUAUUUGCUAGUGGGAGUGGGCGCCCGGCGCGCGAGGUACUGCCGCAAAGCAUUGCUUCGCACGCUCAUGUUUAUGUUUAUGUAUGUAUGAUCAAUUGUGUGUGCUCUCUCUUGAAAGCUUUCAGGUUCGCUCUCCCAUCGCCGAAAGAUCUUUUGGACAUGGAUGACAUAGAGCAAAUACGUAAGUGAAAUAACCUAUUUUACUGCAAAUCUUAACUUGUUAGAGACUUUACUGCCAUACACACGAAAAAAAUACUUGAUCGGUCUGUCUUGUUGUUGCGAUUUCGGCCAACGUAAAGCUUGUGAGCUUUCGGAGCUUCUUAAAAGCUUGGCCUUAUCUAUGGAGCUUUACACUUAUGAGCAUUUAAUUAGAGCCAAAAUAAUUUCCGUUGGAAUAAAAAUGAAAAUGAAAUGAAUGAAUUAAAAAUAAUUACAUAUUAAUCCAAAACAUAUCGAACUAAAUUAAAACUUUACAUUUUGAAUACAAUUAAUGGAAUCUAAC
rnacentral:lncRNA from 1 species